GGAAAUUAUGUUAGAGGUAGUACUGUGUAUAAUGAUGAAUACAAUAGAAUUUACAAAGCUACUAAUACUGAAACUUUAAAAUUGACCAAACUUGGAAAGGCGAGAAGAGGUCUUACUGGAGAUGCUAUUAUAAAUGUGCUUACCAAAAAAUUAGCUGAAAUCACCUCGAUUGAUGAAGUUGACAAGGAGUAUCCUGUUUAUAGGAUUUGUACUUUGAUAGCAAUGUGGGUUAGUCUGAAAAUUUCUUCAAACACGUCUUAUUUUUUAAUUCCAUAUGAUAAUGUAUGUAAGGUAACACUAAAAGGGGGUGUUGUAAAAUACAAAUCACUUGAAGGCGAAUAUUGGCAAGUAAAUGCCGUUACAAAAAAAAAACUAAAUGUACAACUA